rnacentral:lncRNA from 1 species
GUGGCAGUAGGUGUAGGGUGGCUGAAUACAUCUGCAUCAUUGCAUCCAAAUUACCAUGAGAAUUGAAGAAUUGAUUAGAUGUUUUGGUUGCCUUCAUUUCACUUGAAAGUAGCAAAGUAGAUUAGGUAGAAAGGUGUUGGACGGUCACAGCCACUAAUUCCAUGAAUUUAUUUUGAUGAAAGGGAUAUUUAGAAAGGGGUGCAGCGAUGUGAUGCUUGAAGAUGA